rnacentral:rRNA from 1 species
GACAGAGGGUGCAAACGUUGUUCGGAAUUACUGGGCGUAAAGCGCGUGUAGGCGGCCCUGCAAGUCGGGUGUGAAAUCCCACGGCUCAACCGUGGAAAGUGCACUCGAAACUGCAGGGCUAGAGUCCUGGAGAGGAAGGUGGAAUGCUUGGUGUAGAGGUGAAAUUCGUAGAUAUCAAGCGGAACACCGGUGGCGAAGGCGGCCUUCUGGACAGUGACGUGACGCUGAGACGCGAAAGCGUGGGGAGCAAACAGGG